CUCUUUGUUUAAGAAAGAUGUGCUUGUUCUCGUUUACGAUUGGUUUACCCUUAAUUUGUUUCGAAAACACAGGAUACAAAAUAUGAAUUUGUCGAGGCUAUCAAAGCCAAUUUUUACGCGACUGGUGCUGCUUCGGUAAUGUAUUUCAUUACCUUUGAAAGUAUGGAUCCUUCUAAUGGUCAGCCAAAACAUUUCCGAGCUAGAGUCUGCUAUUAUUAUCACUGUCCGCCCUUGUACAUCUCAUGCUAUCCCACACCUGAGAAAAAAGUUCAAUCCAUUGAAAUUGCAGUGAAAGAAGGUGUCAAGAAAUCAAGACUGAUAGAGGAGCUAUCGAAUGUCUAAAACUGGGUGGUGCUGAGGCAAGCACUGCUGUGAUAAUUGACCGAGUCUCGUUAUAUAACCGAGACAUGUACUAAUUUUAUUGUUUGCCUUGUUCGCUUCCUCUCUUUAGAUCUGUUUGUUGUUCAAACUUUUAACUAGAGUUCAGAUUCUAUGUGUUUCACAAACUUUCAUUAAAGAAAACUUUUAACUA